UUUGUUGUUUGUUUACUUUCAUGCUUUUCUAAUUACUUGGUUAUUUAUUCGUCCCUGCUCAUUUGCCGUAGCUUGUUGAGUUAGUCUUUUGAACAUGAGCUCAAUUAUCAUUAUGCUAGCCUUACAGAAUGCACUCGUUAGGGUGAUGUUGUGGUCAGCGGCAGCCCUGGUAAAUUGGUGCAAAAGCAUGUAUUUUUGCAUGAUCAAUUAAAAUCAUGCCCUCUCUCAGCCGCUAAUUCCAACUGUUGCAAGUGGAAGAAAUCAAGGACAUCACGUCUACUACUAGCCUACGUGCAAAGACAACAGCUGGCAGCAGUGUGACCGGGAAAAUGCGAUGAGCUGUCAUGUGACACACGCAAACACAAGAAAGCGGAAACGCAUGAUGGAGCGAGAGCCACAGUGGGGUCCUUGGUCCAUUUCCCGUGAGGUGUGUUUUCCUGAAGAGGCUGAAACAUGCUGACACCUCAGUCCUUGCUUCCAUUAACAGCUGUGUUAUGGAGCGCAUCCUCGGGUUAGGAUGUGCUAACCCACAUCAUGGUCUUCUGCAGCGGGUGGAUACAGAGGACAAUCGGCAGGCAGUGUGAUUUGAGGACUGCUGCCCUGAUUCAUAUGGAAGAAGUUCCAAGCCCAUGAAGAAUUGGUGCCGUGCAGGAGAGACUGGAGCACCCCUGGCAUUUUCCGUGUGGGUAAACAUCAGUCGUGGCAUGGGUCAGCCACUUGCAGUUUUACAGGUCCAAACCAUCUUGAGGCCUUUUGGACAGAGGAGAGGACGACCGAGCUGGUUAACCUCUAGAUAAAGAGACGCAUGUCAAGUGUGAGACCGCCGGUAUACCUACCUAUAUUGAUCCCGACAUCAGUGCCACACAUUGCCAGAUGGCAAUUGGCCGCCUUGUAAAAAAAAAAAAAGCAUGGGUUUAUCAAGGCCCAAAUAUGCUGAGGAAGACAGGCUGCCUUGGUGGGCUGAGGAGUUGCCCUUCACUUCAGUUAGUGACGGAAAAGGUCAAGGACGUAAGGCUUCUCAGCUGAAAAGCUGAGACAGCUUGUGCAGUCCUACAAUGCACAUGUCAAUGAUCAGAUGUUUGUUGAGGCAGCAGCAGCAGGAGCAGCACCAGCACCAACAACAGAAGCAGCAGCAGCAGCAGCAGCAGCAGGAGCAGCACCAACAUCACUAUAAACGCCACCAGCAGCAGCGGCAGAUUAUGAAGAAGAAUAACAAUGAAUACAUGAAAUCAGAGUGGGAAGUUGUGCUUUUAUGUUUCAUAUACAGUAUAUAUGCACCUUACUUGAGUGUCUGUACAAUUUCAUUAUACUGCAAUGCAAUUAAA